rnacentral:rRNA from 1 species
UCCGGUUGAUCCUGCCAGAGGUUACUGCUAUCGAGGUUCGACUAAGCCAUGCGAGUCGAAUGUAGCAGUACAUGGCGAACUGCUCAGUAACACGUGGACAACCUGCCCUUAGGUUGGGUAUAAACCCGGGAAACUGGGUAUAAUACCCGAUAGGUCUCGAUUGCUGGAAUGCAUCGAGAUUUAAAGCUCCGGCGCCUAAGGAUGGGUCUGCGGCCUAUCAGGUAGUAGUGGGUGUAGCGUACCUACUAGCCUACGACGGGUACGGGUUGUGAGAGCAAGAGCCCGGAGAUGGAUUCUGAGACACGAAUCCAGGCCCUACGGGGUGCAGCAGGCGCGAAAACUUUACAAUGCUGGCAACAGCGAUAAGGGAACCUCGAGUGCCAGGUUACAAAUCUGGCUGUCGAGAUGCCUAAAAAGCAUUUCAUAGCAAGGGCCGGGCAAGACCGGUGCCAGCCGCCGCGGUAACACCGGCGGCUCGAGUGGUAACCGUUAUUAUUGGGUCUAAAGGGUCUGUAGCCGGCCGGAUAAGUCUCUUGAGAAAUCUGGCAGCUUAACUGUCAGGCUUUCAGGAGAUACUGUCUGGCUCGAGGCCGGGAGAGGUGAGAGGUACUUCAGGGGUAGGGGUGAAAUCUUGUAAUCCUUGAAGGACCACCAGUGGCGAAGGCGUCUCACCAGAACGGACCUGACGGCAAGGGACGAAAGCUAGGGGCACGAACCGGAUUAGAUACCCGGGUAGUCCUAGCCGUAAACGAUACUCGCUAGGUGUCGGCCACGGUGCGACCGUUGUCGGUGCCGUAGGGAAGCCGUGAAGCGAGCCACCUGGGAAGUACGGCCGCAAGGCUGAAACUUACAGGAAUUGGCGGGGGAGCACCACAACGGGUGGAGCUUGCGGUUUAAUUGGAUUCAACGCCGGAAAUCUUACCGGGACCGACAGCAAUAUGAAGGCCAGGCUGAAGACUUUGCCGGAUUAGCUGAGAGGUGGUGCAUGGCCGUCGUCAGUUCGUACUGUGAAGCAUCCUGUUAAGUCAGGUAACGAGCGAGACCCA